GUCCACGCCGUAACGAUGAAUGCUAGGUGUUAGGGUUUCGAUACCCUUGGUGCCGAAGUUAACACAUUAAGCAUUCCGCCUGGGGAGUACGGCCGCAAGGCUGAAACUCAAAGGAAUUGACGGGACCCGCACAAGCAGUGGAGUAUGUGGUUUAAUUCGAAGCAACGCGAAGAACCUUACCAGGUCUUGACAUCCCCCUGACCGGUACAGAGAUGUACCUUUCCUUCGGGACAGGGGAGACAGGUGGUGCAUGGUUGUCGU
rnacentral:rRNA from 1 species